CCUACGGGAGGCAGCAGUGAGGAAUAUUGGUCAAUGGGCGGAAGCCUGAACCAGCCAAGUAGCGUGCAGGAUGACGGCCCUACGGGUUGUAAACUGCUUUUAUACGGGAAUAACGCGCCUUACGUGUAGGGCUUUGCAUGUACCGUAUGAAUAAGGACCGGCUAACUCCGUGCCAGCAGCCGCGGUAAUACGGAGGGUCCGGGCGUUAUCCGGAUUUAUUGGGGUUAAAGGGAGCGUAGGCCGCGUUGUAAGCGUGCUGUGAAAUGUCCGGGCUCAACCCGGGCCUUGCAGCGGGAAUUGGCGGGCUGGAGUCCGCGGAAAGCAGGCGGAAUUCGUGGUGUAGCGGUGAAAUGCUUAGAGAUGACGCAGAACCCCGAUUGCGAAGGCAGCUUGCUGCAGCGGAACUGACGCUGAUGCUCGAAAGCGCGGGUAUCGAACAGGAUUAGAUACCCCAGUAGUC
rnacentral:rRNA from 1 species